rnacentral:rRNA from 1 species
GACGAACGCUGGCGGCGUGCUUAACACAUGCAAGUCGAACGAUGAAGGGCCAGCUUGCUGGUUUGGAUUAGUGGCGAACGGGUGAGUAACACGUGAGUAACCUGCCCUUCACUUCGGGAUAAGCCUUGGAAACGGGGUCUAAUACCGGGUAUUCAUUUCUCCUCGCAUGGGGGGUUGUGGAAAGCUUUUGUGGUGGGGGAUGGACUCGCGGCCUAUCAGCUUGUUGGUGAGGUAGUGGCUCACCAAGGCUUUGACGGGUAGCCGGCCUGAGAGGGUGAUCGGCCACACUGGGACUGAGACACGGCCCAGACUCCUACGGGAGGCAGCAGUGGGGAAUAUUGCACAAUGGGCGGAAGCCUGAUGCAGCGACGCCGCGUGAGGGAUGACGGCCUUCGGGUUGUAAACCUCUUUCACCUAUGACGAAGCCUUUGGGUGACGGUAGUAGGAGAAGAAGCACCGGCUAACUACGUGCCAGCCGCCGCCGUAACAC